AACGCGAAGAACCUUACCAGGUCUUGACAUCCUCUGACAACUCUAGAGAUAGAGCGUUCCCCUUCGGGGGACAGAGUGACAGGUGGUGCAUGGUUGUCGUCAGCUCGUGUCGUGAGAUGUUGGGUUAAGUCCCGCAACGAGCGCAACCCUUGAUCUUAGUUGCCAGCAUUUAGUUGGGCACUCUAAGGUGACUGCCGGUGACAAACCGGAGGAAGGUGGGGAUGACGUCAAAUCAUCAUGCCCCUUAUGACCUGGGCUACACACGUGCUACAAUGGAUGGUACAAAAGGCUGCAAGACCGCGAGGUCAAGCCAAUCCCAUAAAACCAUUCUCAGUUCGGAUUGUAGGCUGCAACUCGCCUACAUGAAGCUGGAAUCGCUAGUAAUCGCGGAUCAGCAUGCCGCGGUGAAUACGUUCCCGGGCCUUGUACACACCGA
rnacentral:rRNA from 1 species